UUGAUAUCUAUACUCCUACAAUUUCUUCAUAGUAAAUUUAUAAAUUUGUACUCUACUAUUACGUACUGGAAUGCACUUGUAAUCAACUCGUUUUUAUUUUUUAUUUUUUGAAUUCAAAAUUUAUUUUCCUAAUAAUCCAAAAAAGUGUGAAAUAAAAUUAAAUCCCUAGUUGAUAUAUAAAUACUUAGCAUAUUUUCUUUUUUAUAAAUAAAUAUCUAGUUCUAUACUACAAUAUAGGUAGACAAAUCAAAUAAUUGUUUUUAAACCUUUUCAUAUAAAAAUAUUCUUCAACAUAUGUUUCUUUUAAAAAGAUAAAGUGAUGGAAUGGUUAUAAGGGUAUUUUUACAAACAAAUAAUUCUUUUAGAAAUUGUGCAAUGCUUUAAUACAUCAAACCAAACAAUGAAUAAGAAAUAUGUCAGCAUUUCAUGCCAGCAUAACUAAUCCAAGCAUUUCUACUAUCAACAUUACUAACACAUCCUAUUUAUCAUUAUUCUCAUAUACCCUACCAAACAACCGCUAAAAGUGUUGAACGACUAUGACACUAAAAAGUCCCAUCGACCUAAUGCACAUGUUUAAAAUUAAAAAGGAAAUAAAAUCUUGAACCGGAAACCUUGACCUGACCCGAGCCCAAAUUCCAUGUAAAAGAACAAACAUAAGCCCUAAUUCGAACAACUCUUUUUUUAACAAAAAAUAAGGCAAAACCCUCUCCUUGUACAUUGCUCCUCGCCGCCUAUGUAAGUUUCUAUCUUUAUUUUUUAAAUUGUACGAACAAAUUUUAGGUUAGUUACAAAAAAAAUUGUGGUUGCUUCUAUUUCUAAGGUUUUGGUUAGAUUAGAUUAUAGUGCAUCUUAAUCGAAAAAGUACCGUGUUUGCUUAUCUUUUUCUUUGUGAUUUUUAUCCCUUAAUCUUCGGCCUUAUUUGCUUUGCCAUGUAAUAAUAGCUCCAUAAGUAAGAAAGUAAGGAAUAUUUAAGUAAUUAACUGAAAAUCUUAAUAAGCAGUGGUUUUAGCACGGUCGCUCAACUAUUAAUAAUUGACCUAAUUAUCUUAUUAUUACAUGUUUUAAAAGCUUUUGUGCAUUAUCGCUUUUAUACCGCUUUUAAUUAUUUUAAGCAAUUAUGGAGUUUAUUUAAACAAGUAGCGGUAUUUUAAACAAUUAUAGAGUUUAUUUAAACAAGUAGCGGUGUCGCGCACUUGUUAUUUUUGUACACAUCGCAGAUAACGCCACGUGAAACGCACCCGUGUUUUACAACAUGUUAAUUUUAUUAUUGUUUGAAGUAAUGGUCAGGUCUCAUGAAAUGCGCACCCACAUUGGGGAUUAUGUAUCACGACUAUGUCACGGGAACCGUACCCAUAGUCGUGAUGAUUUAAUUACGCGCCUAAAGCAAACUACGGUGUUUGAAAUUAUUCAUUCUCUAUGUUUGAGACUGACCGUAAAGGUCAUGAGUUAUGGAAAGAGUUGUUGAAAAGUAUGAGGUAUUAAUUGAUUCUAAUUCUCUGGGCCUUUGCCGCAUUGGAGUUCAUUUUGGAAGACAGAUUUAACACAAUUAACACUUGAUUCAUACGUUCCACUACUAAAAUUGUGUUCUUAUAACACCAAAAACUGCUAAAUCAAUUAAAACAACAUAGUUUCAAGUUUAGCAUCACAUAAUGAAUCAAUAACAAUUGAGCAGGAGGAGUCUAUCACUUUAAACCCAGACGAGUACAUUGGUGAAACUACAAAAUACAACACAAGAGGUACACAUUGUUCUUUUCCUAAUCGUGUGGCAGCAGAAUCACACAUCCACCUCAUUGAGCUGAUUUCUUCAUCAUACAUAUAUUUAGUCCACUGGUAUUCAAAUUCAUAGAUCCAAAUGGAUAUGAAGUCAUUAACUACUGCGCAAAGAUGGGCUAACACAAUAAUCAGUAAUUGAUGUUGCCUAACAGAAAUUAACUCAUAUGUUACCGAGUAUUUGACUCAUUUUAAACGAACAAAUAACAACACAUAUGGUCAAAUUAGAACCACUCAGUAAGCAAAUAAAUAGGCUGGAAUUAUGACACGGUAUCAAAACAGCUGAUCUUCAUUCAUCAAUUCAAUUAGAUGGCUUAAAAUGUGAAACAUACCUAGAGAUGAAUUCAGCAACAAGGAAUAACCAAAUAAAACUUAGAAGCAGAAGAUGAAGCUCAGUUAACAAUCCCCAGCAACAAUCGGCAGAGAAAAAAAAUACUUCCAACAGCCCAAAAGACCCUUUAACUUUCCAGAAAUACCAAAUGAAGGAGCAAGGCUUCGAAACAGCUUUCUUUUCCAGAUAACCUUGUUUUAAUGAAGGAGGUCUGUGAUGGAGCGGCUAGGGUGUGCUGUAUUUUUAUUUUGAGAAGGGGAGUCUGUUUGGAGAUGACGGAGGAAUAAGGGGCGGCUGCUUGGUUUUUUUUCCAGAAAAUGGGGGAUUUUUUAUUUAUUUUUUUAGGGCUAAGGGGGAAAAGGACUUUUAAUGAGGGGGAAAGAGAGAAUGGGCCAGGCGGGUCGGGGUGAAUUGGGCGGAUAUGGGAAUUCGUUUGGGCUCUUUGAGACUGGCCCAAUCCGAUUUAAACUAAAAACUUUCCCCCUUUUCUUUUGUUUGUUUUCUU
rnacentral:lncRNA from 1 species